CGGCAAUGGAGGAAACUCUGACCGAGCAACGCCGCGUGAACGAUGAAGUAUUUCGGUACGUAAAGUUCUUUUAUUAGGGAAGAAUAAAUGAUGGAAAAAUCAUUCUGACGGUACCUAAUGAAUAAGCCCCGGCUAACUAUGUGCCAGCAGCCGCGGUAAUACAUAGGGGGCAAGCGUUAUCCGGAAUUAUUGGGCGUAAAGGGUGCGUAGGCGGUUAAAUAAGUUUAUGGUCUAAGUGCAAUGCUCAACAUUGUGAUGCUAUAAAAACUGUUUAGCUAGAGUAAGAUAGAGGCAAGUGGAAUUCCAUGUGUAGUGGUAAAAUGCGUAAAUAUAUGGAGGAACACCAGUAGCGAAGGCGGCUUGCUGGGUCUUUACUGACGCUGAGGCACGAAAGCGUGGGGAGCAAACAGGAUUAGAUACCCUGGUAGUCCACGCCGUAAACGAUGAGUACUAAACGUUGGGUAAAACCAGUGUUGAAGUUAACACAUUAAGUACUCCGCCUGAGUAGUACGUACGCAAGUAUGAAACUUAAAGGAAUUGACGGGACUCCGCACAAGCGGUGGAUCAUGUUGUUUAAUUCGAAGGUACCCGAAAAACCUCACCAGGUCUUGACAUGCUUCUGCAAAGCUGUAGAAACACAGUGGAGGUUAUCAGUUGCACAGGUGGUGCAUGGUUGUCGUCAGCUCGUGUCGUGAGAUGUUGGGUUAAGUCCCGCAACGAGCGCAACCCUUAUUGUUAGUUACCAGCACGUAAUGGUGGGGACUUUAGCAAGACUGCCAGUGAUAAAUUGGAGGAAGGUGGGGACGACGUCAAAUCAUCAUGCCCCUUAUGACCUGGGCUACAAACGUGAUACAAUGGCUGUUACAAAGAGUAGCUGAA
rnacentral:rRNA from 4 species